AGUGUACGUGUCAACUGUCAAGUGUCAUUGAUUGUUAUUAAUUUUCUUUUGCAAAUUGUUUUUAAUUAAAUGAUAAAUAAAAUACAAUUAAUAUAGAAAUUGGAUAAGAGAAUUUAACAGCAACAAAACUGAUAACAAGAUGCGUCAAUUAAAAGGAAAAACAAAAGAAACAAA